rnacentral:lncRNA from 1 species
GCAAUGGAGAUUAACUUACUUAAACUUGAAGGUGAAGUAGAGAACUAUUCUAGAAAAACGACGUACGUAUUUCAUUAUUUCAAAUCAACACCAGUGGCGGAUCCAGAGGGGGCGUAGAGGCUCCUUGCUUGCACCUUUUUAAAUUUAAUUUUAUUGUAAAAUGAUAAAUCAGACUAAAUUUUGUAAUCUUUGCAUUUCCCGUGUAUUUAAUUUUGAUGCGACAAUUCUUUACUUAUAAAUAUAUUUUCGCUCGUAUUUACUGUAAUAUAUUAUUGAUUAUGCCAAAGUCAUGUGAUUCGCUACGGUGGAGUUGACCAGUUCGCCAAACAAAACGUCACUCAGUCAUUCAAAUUACAGUAACACAAUUGCUUAGGCUGAGGAUGACAAACAUGACACCUUCAAAGCGACAAUGGAUUGAGCAAGAACGUAUUGACUUCUAUUUCACAAUUCCACCAAACGGAUAGUAGUAAUCUAUUACAAUCUCAUGAAAAAAAGUUCCACAGCAAGAUUAUUUACCUACGAAAAUACGCCUCAGCCUAAAAUAACAUAGCUGAAUAAUGACCCCCAGGCAGUAAGCUCUAGAAAUAUUCAAAGUCUAAGAUUCGGACCAUUUGAUUGAGGGGGCAGUCUGAGAUAUUUUAGAGAAAAAAUUAUUACCCUGAUUUUUGCCUUAAACAAAAUUUCUGUCCGUUUCAUGAUUGAAAACAAUAAUAUAAUCUUGUCCACUUUUUUGCUUUUAGAAACAAAAAAUUCCAACAGAAUUAUUUAGCAUUAAAUGAACAUGAUGAUACAAAACGGGCGAAAUGUUUUGGGGUCUGGGGGUUUGCAUUUAAAUCCCAUAUCUGACCGGAAUGUAUGUUUCGACAAACUGAUCUAUUAAAUACUUUUUUCAAGGCCCGACUACAGCCUGCUUGCUGGUAGCUGCCUUUAGGUCUCCAUUUUUCGACCGUAAUUCAUAAAUUCAUUGUCAUUCAACACUCAUUCGUAGCCUUUGGUUGAUUUGGAACCCCUUACUUUCCCUUGUUGGGAGAAACAUUUCAACCAAACAUUUGGAUAGAAAUUGCUUGUUUAGCUUUCUUCGUGUAGGGUCGUUUUGUAAAUUUCUUUGAAUAGCCAGGCGUAUAUCUUGUUUACAACAAGAAAUCUGUGAAGUUAGGCUAACUAAUCAUACAACAAACGAGAAUUUUCCAUGUCCAUUUUUUACUGACAAGUCCCACAUCAAAUAUAUAAGUACAUAGCUUUGGAUCCAUCCAAUCAUUUUAUUAUCGACAAUUAAUGGAGAGAAUACGGCAUCAAAAUGUCCAACCUUUACACUUUAACUAUAAAAUAUACAUGCUCCACGUCAUUCGUCUUGACAUUUUAUUUAAAUAAGUUUUACUUAAGAUUUUUUUUUCCAAACAUAUUAAUAAAUAGACAUAUCCCUUAUGCGUCAAUUAUAUCUACUCCCACAGAAGACUUUAAAACGAGAUGAGUAUUACAUGAAGCAGAAUUAAAUAUUAAAAGUAGGUAAUUGGACGGUACAUAAACCAUUGACAUCCUAAACUUUAUGGCGGUGCCUGUUCUUUUAUUAGUUUUAGUUCAUUAUUGCCUGCAGCCUCUAGAUAAUACGAAAUACAUUUAACUUGAGGCAGUAUAGGUAUGCUCUUUUUUCCAGAGCACCAAUAUUUCCCCUAUCUCUUAAAGAGUUUUGAUACAUCUUCCAACACUUCUGUCGGAUUUGACGUUAAAUAACCUGUAAUUAGAUUUUAUACAUGUUUGAUACUUUUAAGUAUUUACACGUAUCAUUAUAUUGUUCUCAGAGAAUUAAGUACAGAAAAAAUAGCGAUGGAAGAGUCAGUGAGGGGACUUUUAGAUUACAUACUACACGUCCGUUCGUCGACAGAUACCUGUUUACCGAACAAUGUAAAGACUGUCCCAGAAAUGGUUGAGUUUGUCAGGAAUCAAAUAA